rnacentral:rRNA from 1 species
UAAUAACCGGGUUAAUACAUCGAAUCACAUGUUUCGAUGUUGAAAGAUGGUUUUGCUAUCACUAUAGGAUGGACCCGCGGCGCAUUAGCUAGUUGGUGAGGUAACGGCUCACCAAGGCGACGAUGCGUAGCCGACCUGAGAGGGUGAUCGGCCACACUGGGACUGAGACACGGCCCAGACUCCUACGGGAGGCAGCAGUAGGGAAUCUUCCACAAUGGACGAAAGUCUGAUGGAGCAACGCCGCGUGAGUGAAGAAGGAUUUCGGUUCGUAAAACUCUGUUGUAAGGGAAGAACAAGUGCAGUAGUAACUGGCUGCACCUUGACGGUACCUUAUUAGAAAGCCACGGCUAACUACGUGC